UUUUCCUACCCCUAGACUAGUCCUUAUAUAUAAGGCAUAGAGGUUCCUCUCCUUCUUCCUCUCCCUCCGUGAGUAUUUUAACUAAUGAAAUAAGAUUUGUUAUUAUGCCAAACUUGCCAAUAAUUUGUUUGUUCAAAAAUCAUAUCCCACGCCUAGAAUUCAAGGAAGGUGACAGCUUCCGCCGGCGAGGCGGCGAAGGUGAGAUUCUUCUCCACACCCUCCUCCAUUUCUUUCUCCCCUCGAAAAACCAAUGCGAAGUACCAGAACGACAGUGCAUUACCUCUGAGAAGCUCUUCGCAGUCGGAAGAUUUGCUUGAAAAAGCUGGGGGAUUUUAUGUCAUAUUAAGGGUGUUUACUCUUGCAUACAGUAUGGUUGUUUGAGCAUGCGUGUAGCACCCAUCUUGAUGCAGGUUUGCUACGCUAUUUGGGUUUUGGCAUGAUUUUGAAUAUGCUCACCGUGCUUAGGUUCUGUUUCUUGGAUUGCCGCAAGAGCCAGCCAUCAAUGGGUGUUGUUCCUAUGAUGUUUAUGGAUGGUAAUAAAGGUACUAAAGACGAUUGAGGCACAUUGUGGAUGCCAUUUGCGAUCUAGCCUUUAAAAAUUAUCCCCAUGCAUGGAGGGAUAUUCUCAAGGACAUGGCUUACAGAAAUUGAAAGCACUGGAAACGAAGGCUAUAGACAAUAUAAGAAAGUAAGAUUUAUGAUGGUUAUUUAUUAUUUUAUUUUAUUCUCUCAUCACACCAUAAAAGAAAAGCUCUCUUUCCCUUUUCCCCCAUUGUUGUGCCCUAUUUUAUUUUAGUCAGAUAAUUGGCAGGCACUAGAUUCAGAAGCUGCAAAAUGCAAAAAAUUCAUAGGCAUUUUAUUAUUUAAAGAGCAGAAAAUGGUAAAACCUAGAGUUAUAGCUCAGUGGUUUCUGCAUCUCGUAGGGGAGAAUUGAGUUUGUGGUUUUCAUAUUCAAGGUUUUGGGUUUGAACUUGGGAGGGAGUGGGAAGGGGUAUGGGAUGGGAGAUGUCGGCCUACCUCUGGUGGCUAUUCACGCAGCCAAGGCCCUGGGCCUCAAAUGAACCAAAAGAGAAGCUUAAGAGGUUUUUGUUGGUUUAGUGCUUUCUGUCCACCAAACUGUAGGUUAUACAUGCUUGUUCUCUCUUUAUGCACUCCUGUUUUGGUCCUGCGGAGCUAAUAGCAUUAGGCCUCACUUGCACAAUGUGCUGUGCCCACAAACAAAUGCUGGAAAGGUUUAAAGUGCUUUUUAAUGCCAACAAAUGAAGUGGAAGUCACUGUGAUUUGAUAGUGAAUUCUUGUAUUGGCUCUGCUUGAGUUUGACUACAACAUCUUCUUGUGUUGGUUUGAGGGUGGAAUUCCAAGUUUUGCUCUCCAUAAGAAUCAGAUGAAGUGGGAGUCAACAAUGGAAUCCGCACUCACCAAUGUAAUGGUUUUGGGCUGGGGUAAACCCGACUGCACUAUUUUAAGGAUUGGACGGCACCUACUGUCAAAGAUUGGAAAUGGAACAUCUCAUUAUUAUUAUUGUAGUCAUCUUGAGAGAAACUAUGCUUCUCAAAAUCAAUUGUAUGGAUUAGUCAGAGUAUUCUAAUUUUUAUCUUUUUUGACUUGUUGA